rnacentral:rRNA from 1 species
GAAUUCACUAGUGAUUCAGGCCUAACACAUGCAAGUCGAGCGGGGUUUUCGGACCUAAAAAAAGACGGGUGAGUAAUGCGUAGGAAGCUACCCGAUAGAGGGGGAUACCAGUUGGAAACGACUGUUAAUACCGCAUAAUGUCUACGGACCAAAGUGUGGGACCUUCGGGCCACAUGCUAUCGGAUGCGCCUACGUGGGAUUAGCUAGUUGGUGAGGUAAUGGCUCACCAAGGCGACGAUCCCUAGCUGGUUUGAGAGGAUGAUCAGCCACACUGGAACUGAGGCGCGGUCCAGACUCCUACGGGAGGCAGCAGUGGGGAAUAUUGGACAAUGGGCGCAAGCCUGAUCCUUU